AGCGAACGCUGGCGGCAGGCCUAACACAUGCAAGUCGAGGGGUAUAGUUCUUCGGAGCUAGAGACCGGCGCACGGGUGCGUAACGCGUAUGCAAUCUACCUUUUGCAGAGGGAUAGCCCAGAGAAAUUUGGAUUAAUACCUCAUGGUAUGUGAGAAUGGCAUCAUUUUCACAUUAAAGUCACAACGGCAAAAGAUGAGCAUGCGUCCCAUUAGCUAGUUGGUAAGGUAACGGCUUACCAAGGCAACGAUGGGUAGGGGUCCUGAGAGGGGGAUCCCCCCCACGGGCACGGAGACACGGACCAGACUCCUACGGGAGGCAGCAGUGAGGAAUAUUGGACAAUGGGCGCAAGUCUGAUCCAGCCAUGCCGCGUGCAGGAUGACGGUCCUAUGGAUUGUAAACUGCUUUUGUACAGGAAGAAACACUGGUUCGUGAACCAGCUGACGGUACUGUAAGAAUAAGGAUCGGCUAACUCCGUGCCAGCCGCCGCAGUAAAAC
rnacentral:rRNA from 1 species